CCCUUAGAUGUCCGGGGCUGCACGCGCGCUACACUGAAGGAAUCAGCGUGCUAAAACCAUUGUCGAAAGGCAUUGGUAAACCCAUUAAAAUCCUACGUGAUUGGGAUCGGGAAUUGCAAUUAUUUCCCUUGAACGAGGAAUUCCCAGUAAGUGGGGGUCAUAAGCUCGCGUUGAUUACGUCCCUGCCCUUUGUACACACCGCCCGUCGCUGCCCGGGACUGAGCCGUUUCGAGAAAAGCGGGGACUGCUGCUGUCGGGGCUUUCGGGCCUUGGCUUCGGUGGAAACCGCUUUAAUCGCAGUGGCUUGAACCGGGCAAAAGUCGUAACA
rnacentral:rRNA from 1 species